UACGUAGGGGGCAAGCGUUAUCCGGAUUCACUGGGUGUAAAGGGAGCGUAGACGGCCAUGCAAGCCCGGAGUGAAAGCCCGGGGCCCAACCCCGGGACUGCUCUGGGAACUGUGCGGCUGGAGUGCGGGAGGGGCAGGCGGAAUUCCUGGUGUAGCGGUGAAAUGCGUAGAUAUCAGGAGGAACACCGGCGGCGAAGGCGGCCUGCUGGACCGCGACUGACGUUGAGGCUCGAAAGCGUGGGGAGCAAACAGG
rnacentral:rRNA from 1 species